CAGCAGCCGCGGUAAUACGAAGGGGGCUAGCGUUGCUCGGAAUGACUGGGCGUAAAGGGCGCGUAGGCGGAUGGCACAGUCAGAUGUGAAAUUCCCGGGCUUAACCUGGGGGCUGCAUUUGAUACGUGUUGUCUAGAGUGAGGAAGAGGGUCGUGGAAUUCCCAGUGUAGAGGUGAAAUUCGUAGAUAUUGGGAAGAACACCGGUGGCGAAGGCGGCGACCUGGUCCUUUACUGACGCUGAGGCGCGAAAGCGUGGGGAGCAAACAGGAUUAGAUACCCCCGUAGUCCCUGUCUCUUAUAC
rnacentral:rRNA from 1 species